rnacentral:rRNA from 1 species
GGUCCUAAGGUAGCGAAAUUCCUUGUCGGGUAAGUUCCGACCUGCACGAAUGGCAUAAUGAUGGGGGCGCUGUCUCCAGCAGAGACUCAGUGAAAUCGAAUUCGCCGUGAAGAUGCGGUGUACCCGCGGCUAGACGGAAAGACCCCGUGAACCUUUACUGCAGCUUGACAUUGAACUUUGAUCUUACUUGUGUAGGAUAGGUGGGAGGCUUUGAAACCGAGACGCUAGUUUCGGUGGAGCCAAUCUUGAAAUACCACCCUGGUAAUAUUGAGGUUCUAACUCUGCUCCAUAAUCUGGAGCGAGGACCAUGUCUGGUGGGUAGUUUGACUGGGGCGGUCUCCUCCUAAAGAGUAACGGAGGAGUACGAAGGUGCGCUCAGCGUGGUCGGAAAUCACGCGUAGAGUAUAAAGGCAAAAGCGCGCUUAACUGCGAGACCCACAAGUCGAGCAGGUACGAAAGUAGGUCUUAGUGAUCCGGUGGUUCUGUAUGGAAGGGCCAUCGCUCAACGGAUAAAAGGUACUCCGGGGAUAACAGGCUGAUACCGCCCAAGAGUUCAUAUCGACGGCGGUGUUUGGCACCUCGAUGUCGGCUCAUCUCAUCCUGGGGCUGAAGCAGGUCCCAAGGGUAUGGCUGUUCGCCAUUUAAAGAGGUACGCGAGCUGGGUUUAGAACGUCGUGAGACAGUUCGGUCCCUAUCUACCGUGGGCGCUGGAAAUUUGAGAGGAUCUGCUCCUAGUACGAGAGGACCAGAGUGGACGAACCUCUGGUGUACCGGUUGUGACGCCAGUCGCAUCGCCGGGUAGCUAUGUUCGGAAGGGAUAACCGCUGAAAGCAUCUAAGCGGGAAGCCUACCUCAAGAUAAGAUUUCCCUAGGACUUUAUGUCCUCUAAAGAGCCGUUGAAGACUACGACGUUGAUAGGUUGGAUGUGGAAGUGCAGUGAUGCAUGAAGCUGACCAAUACUAAUUGCUCGUGAGGCUUGACUAU